GUCGGAUAAUCGCGCCGGAAAUGGUGAGGAAAGUCCGUGCAUUCAAGAACAGGGCUCCGGAGAAACUCCGGACGGCGUGAGCCGGUGGAUAGUGCCACAGAAAUGUUAACUUCCGAUGGAAUACUUUGUGUUCACAGGAGAUGGUGCAACGGUGAGGUAAGAGCAUCACCAGCGGUAUCGAGAGGUACCGGCUAGGUAAACCCAGCCAGAAUGCAAGAUUAAAUCUAAGGUUAAAGGUUGUUCGCCCACUUAGGAAAAAUCGCUAGAGAUUGCAAGUAAUUGUAAUACCAGACAGAUGAUUAUCGAGAAACAGAACACGGCUUAUGAGCUGCUUUA
rnacentral:RNase_P_RNA from 1 species